AUGUUGUUGUUCGUGGCUGACCCCCCUUGUGUUCGUGCUGCUUCUGCUUACUGUGCUCACAUGCGGAGGUCGUGCGUCCGCCUUGAUUUAUACAUCGCCUUUAUUGCGGACCUCCAGGUCGUCGUCAGGCCACGUCGACGCCACUUGCAUCAAACCCGAGGGCAGGGCUCUUCGAACCCCGUGGAAGGGCGGCCUGGGAUGAGCGAACCACACAAAGGGCAGAACAUCCGGAAGCCGGUAAAGGAUGGUUUAACCAUCAGGAAGCCUCAGAAGAUCCACUACAGGUUUCAUGCAAGGAGGGCACAUGAGGCCAAGCAGAAGGGCCAUCACUCUGGAUAUGGUAAGCAUAUGGGUACUAGGGAGGCUAGGCUCCCCACCAAGAUCAUGUCGAUGAAGAGAAUGCGCAUCCUGAGGCCUCUUCUGCGCAAGUACCGUGAGGCCAAGAAGAUUGACACGCACAUGUACCAUGACAUGUACCUAAAAGUCAAUGUAACAUGUUCAAUCACAGGAGGUGUCUGCAUGUAA
rnacentral:rRNA from 1 species